rnacentral:rRNA from 1 species
UACAGAGGGUGCAAGCGUUAAUCGGAUUUACUGGGCGUAAAGGGCGCGUAGGUGGUUACUUAAGUGAGAUGUGAAAUCCCCGGGCUUAACCUGGGAACUGCAUCUUAUACUGGGUAACUGGAGUGCAGUAGAGGGUAGUGGAAUUUCCGGUGUAGCGGUGAAAUGCGUAGAUAUCGGAAGGAACACCAGUGGCGAAGGCGGCUACCUGGACUGAGACUGACACUGAGGCGCGAGAGCGUGGGGAGCAAACAGG